GACGAACGCUGGCGGCGUGCCUAAUACAUGCAAGUCGAGCGGAUGAAAGAGGAGCUUGCUCCUCUAGAUUCAGCGGCGGAUGGGUGAGUAACACGUGGGCAACCUGCCCUGUAGAUUGGGAUAACUCCGGGAAACCGGGGCUAAUACCGAAUAAUCCUUCGGACCUCAUGGUCCGAUGUUGAAAGACGGUUUCGGCUGUCACUACAGGAUGGGCCCGCGGCGCAUUAGCUAGUUGGUGAGGUAACGGCUCACCAAGGCCACGAUGCGUAGCCGACCUGAGAGGGUGAUCGGCCACACUGGGACUGAGACACGGCCCAGACUCCUACGGGAGGCAGCAGUAGGGAAUCUUCCACAAUGGACGAAAGUCUGAUGGAGCAACGCCGCGUGAGCGAAGAAGGUUCUCGGAUCGUAAAACUCUGUUGUGAGGGAAGAACAAGUACCGGAGUAACUACCGGUGUCUUGACGGUACCUCAUUAGAAAGCCACGGCUAACUACGUGCCAGCAGCCGCAGUAAUAC
rnacentral:rRNA from 1 species